CCUGCGGAGGGAUCAUUACACAAUAAAAUACGAAGGCCGUUCGCGGCUGGACUAUUUAUUACCCUUGUCUUUUGCGCACUUGUUGUUUCCUGGGCGGGUUCGCUCGCCACCAGGACCACAAUAUAAACCUUUUUUAUGCAGUUGCAAUCAGCGUCAGUAUAACAAAUGUAAAUCAUUUACAACUUUCAACAACGGAUCUCUUGGUUCUGGCAUCGAUGAAGAACGCAGCGAAAUGCGAUACGUAGUGUGAAUUGCAGAAUUCAGUGAAUCAUCGAAUCUUUGAACGCACAUUGCGCCCUUUGGUAUUCCAAAGGGCAUGCCUGUUCGAGCGUCAUUUGUACCCUCAAGCUUUGCUUGGUGUUGGGCGUUUUUGUCCCCCUCAAAAGGGACUCGCCUUAAAGUGAUUGGCAGCCGGCCUACUGGUUUCGCAGCGCAGCACAUUUUUGCGCUUGCAAUCAGCAAAAGAGGACGGCAAUCCAUCAAGACUCCUUCUCACGUUUGACCUCGGAUCAGGUAGGGAUACCCGCUGAACUUAAGCAUAUCAAAGGCGGGGAAGGAA
rnacentral:rRNA from 1 species